UCCUCCUGCAAGCAAAGCAAGACAGGCUGCUUACUCUAAGAGGGCCACUACUCAAUCAAGUGCUCAAGCCCUCUGGUUCCCAGAUUCGGGAGCUACUGAUCAUGUGACUGCCGAUAUGGACAAUCUACAAAUCAAGAAAGGUUGUGGUAGCAACCAAGGUAUUAUAACUGCUAAUGGUUCUGUUAUGCCAAUUUCUAAUAUUGGUGAUUCGAAAUUUUCUUGCGGUAUCAAAUUGAAUAAUAUAAUGCAUACCCCAACAGUUCGGAAGAAUCUUAUUUCCAUCAAUAAGUUGUGUAGAGAUAACAACUUAUCUGUGAUUUUUGAUGCUAAUUCUGUAUGUAUAAAGGAUCCUCGGUCUGAUGCUAUGCUUGUGAAAGGGAAAGCUGUGGAUGGGUUGUAUCAAGUAGAGUUGAAGGAUUCUAGAAGAGCAGCGGCGGUGUUUCUGGG
rnacentral:lncRNA from 1 species